GCUAUGAUGGCCUAGUGAUUAGAGCGUCCGCUUCAGAUGCCAAAGGUCGCGGGUUCGAACCCAGGCCAAGUCAUGCCA